GUGUCAGCCGCCGCGGUAAUACCGGCAGCCCAAGUGAUGGCCGAUCUUAUUGGGCCUAAAGCGUCCGUAGCUGGCCACGCAAGUCCAUCGGGAAAUCCACCUGCCCAACAGGUGGGCGCCCGGUAGAAACUGCGUGGCUUGGGACCAGAAGGCGCGACGGGUACGUCCGGGGUAGGAGUGAAAUCCCGUAAUCCUGGACAGACCGCCGAUGGCGAAAGCACGUCGCGAGGACGGAUCCGACAGUGAGGGACGCUUUAGGCCCAAUAAUAUCGGCCAU
rnacentral:rRNA from 1 species